UCCGCCGCCGACCCUCAACCGAGGGUGUCGGACGUCGCGACCCGUUCGCCCAGGUCGAUACUCAGGGACGCGUUUCAAGUUCGCCGGCGCGGUCGUCUCGGCGGCCGCGUCACGAUGGCGCGUUUCCGCUGUUCUCGACGCGGACGGUAGCUUUGCGCGCGGGUAAUCGACGCGGUCCUUUGUCCGGCGUCUCCGUACGUCGGACGGCGCUCGCGUCGACGCCGGUCAGCGACGAAUCUUCGGGCCUCUUUCCGACCCGUCUUGAAACACGGACCAAGGAGUCUAGCGUGCGCGCGAGUCGCGGGGUAUCCGAGUCGUCGUAGUCGUUUCGGCGGCGAACGCGACUCGUCACGAUACGAAACCCGUGUACGUACGUUGUGCGAAGGCGUAAUGAAAGUGAAAGGCGACGCUUCGCGCGUCGCCGGGGGAAGACGGUGUUCCGUGUACCACGUUUCGCGGUCAUACGUGUACCGCGGCCGGACACCCGCAUUCCCAGGGCGUCCCGCUCGUACGUCGGCCGUCGGGUCUCGGCUCGGCGGUCGGCGAACUGGGGCGCACCUACAGCGUGCACGCUGGUACCCGAAAGAUGGUGAACUAUGCCCGGCCAGGAUGAA
rnacentral:rRNA from 1 species